GACGAACGCUGGCGGCGUGCUUAAAACAUGCAAGUCGAACGGACUUCUCAUGAAGCUUGCGAUUGAGAAGUUAGUGGCGGACGGGUGAGUAACGCGUGGGCAACCUGCCCCUGAGCCCGGGAUAACAGUUCGAAAGGACUGCUAAGACCGGAUAUACUUGCGGGGAAGCAUUUCACUGCAAGGAAAGGGAACGCUCAGGGAUGGGCCCGCGUCCCAUUAGCUAGUUGGUGAGGUAACGGCCCACCAAGGCGACGAUGGGUAGCCGGCCUGAGAGGGUGAACGGCCACACUGGGACUGAGACACGGCCCAGACUCCUACGGGAGGCAGCAGUUGGGAAUCUUCGGCAAUGGGCGCAAAGCCUGACCGAGCAACGCCGCGUGAGUGAUGAAGGUUUUCGGAUUGUAAAGCUCUGUCUUCCGGGACGAUAAUGACGGUACCGGAGGAGGAAGCCACGGGCUAACUACGUGCCAGCAGCCGCGGUAAAGUCACGUCG
rnacentral:rRNA from 1 species